rnacentral:tRNA from 1 species
GGUGUUGUGGCUCAGUGGUAGAUUGCUUACCUAGCAAGUGUGAGACACUGGGUUCUAUCCUCAGCACCACAU